rnacentral:rRNA from 1 species
AUUGAACGCUGGCGGCAGGCCUAACACAUGCAAGUCGAGCGGUAGCACAGAGAGCUUGCUCUCGGGUGACGAGCGGCGGACGGGUGAGUAAUGUCUGGGAAACUGCCUGAUGGAGGGGGAUAACUACUGGAAACGGUAGCUAAUACCGCAUAACGUCGCAAGACCAAAGUGGGGGACCUUCGGGCCUCAUGCCAUCAGAUGUGCCCAGAUGGGAUUAGCUAGUAGGUGGGGUAACGGCUCACCUAGGCGACGAUCCCUAGCUGGUCUGAGAGGAUGACCAGCCACACUGGAACUGAGACACGGUCCAGACUCCUACGGGAGGCAGCAGUGGGGAAUAUUGCACAAUGGGCGCAAGCCUGAUGCAGCCAUGCCGCGUGUGUGAAGAAGGCCUUCGGGUUGUAAAGCACUUUCAGCGGGGAGGAAGGCGGUGAGGUUAAUAACCUCAUCGAUUGACGUUACCCGCAGAAGAAGCACCGGCUAACUCCGUGCCAGCAGCCGCGGUAAUACGGAGGGUGCAAGCGUUAAUCGGAAUUACUGGGCGUAAAGCGCACGCAGGCGGUCUGUCAAGUCGGAUGUGAAAUCCCCGGGCUCAACCUGGGAACUGCAUUCGAAACUGGCAGGCUAGAGUCUUGUAGAGGGGGGUAGAAUUCCAGGUGUAGCGGUGAAAUGCGUAGAGAUCUGGAGGAAUACCGGUGGCGAAGGCGGCCCCCUGGACAAAGACUGACGCUCAGGUGCGAAAGCGUGGGGAGCAAACAGGAUUAGAUACCCUGGUAGUCCACGCCGUAAACGAUGUCGAUUUGGAGGUUGUGCCCUUGAGGCGUGGCUUCCGGAGCUAACGCGUUAAAUCGACCGCCUGGGGAGUACGGCCGCAAGGUUAAAACUCAAAUGAAUUGACGGGGGCCCGCACAAGCGGUGGAGCAUGUGGUUUAAUUCGAUGCAACGCGAAGAACCUUACCUGGUCUUGACAUCCACAGAACUUAGCAGAGAUGCUUUGGUGCCUUCGGGAACUGUGAGACAGGUGCUGCAUGGCUGUCGUCAGCUCGUGUUGUGAAAUGUUGGGUUAAGUCCCGCAACGAGCGCAACCCUUAUCCUUUGUUGCCAGCGGUUAGGCCGGGAACUCAAAGGAGACUGCCAGUGAUAAACUGGAGGAAGGUGGGGAUGACGUCAAGUCAUCAUGGCCCUUACGACCAGGGCUACACACGUGCUACAAUGGCAUAUACAAAGAGAAGCGACCUCGCGAGAGCAAGCGGACCUCAUAAAGUAUGUCGUAGUCCGGAUUGGAGUCUGCAACUCGACUCCAUGAAGUCGGAAUCGCUAGUAAUCGUAGAUCAGAAUGCUACGGUGAAUACGUUCCCGGGCCUUGUACACACCGCCCGUCACACCAUGGGAGUGGGUUGCAAAAGAAGUAGGUAGCUUAACCUUCGGGAGGGCGCUUACCACUUUGUGAUUCAUGACUGGGGUGA